GGACUGGUGGUGUAAGGGUAUCACGCCGCACAGGUUUGCCUCCAGAUACGUAAACGUCGCCUUGCGGAGGUUCCCCGUUCGACUCGGGGCCAGGCCA